UACGAAGGGGGCGAGCGUUGUUCGGAAUUACUGGGCGUAAAGGGCGCGUAGGCGGCCGAUCAAGUCAGAUGUGAAAGUCCUGGGCUUAACCUGGGGACUGCAUUUGAUACUGAUUGGCUUGAAUGCAGGAGAGGAUAGCGGAAUUCCCAGUGUAGAGGUGAAAUUCGUAGAUAUUGGGAAGAACACCGGUGGCGAAGGCGGCUAUCUGGACUGUGAUUGACGCUGGAGGCGCGAAAGCGUGGGGAGCAAACAGG
rnacentral:rRNA from 1 species